rnacentral:lncRNA from 1 species
AAUGGUCAAUGCAAAAGGUCAAUUUUUAAGUGCAACAAUUAAAAUCCAAGGGCAAAAUGGUCCAAUUUGAGAAUUACAUGGAAUUUUGAAAUGGGACUUUUUGCAACACUCUCCAAAUGCAAAAUGUGACUUGUUCCAACUGUCAUGAGCUGUCACAUUGCAAUAUUUGGCAAGGCUAUUUUUGAACUUUCACCUAAAAUGCAAUUAUGCUAAUUCUUCCAAAUUUUG